GUUCUCCAAUACCUUAGUAGUGUCCCUUAGUCUACACUCAAUUACUCUUUUCCAUAGCUUCAUAUGUGAUUCAUCAAUUUAAUACAAUGAUAAUUUUUACGGCUUCGGAUGUCUCUUUUGUUUUUAAAUAUAGUAACUGAAGUGCUUUUUCUCCAUUCAUUUGGUAUCCUUCUUGAUUUUAAUAAGCCAUUGACUAUCUUGGUUAGCCAAGCUACUCCAACCUCCUUAAGGCACUUAAAUACUUCUACUGGGAUACCAUCUAGGCUGCAAGCUCUUCCUGUCUUAGAUAAGUUCAUCAUUAGACCAGAAACAAGAAAACAUGUUGCAUGUGCAAAUUAUAGAUAAUGCAUAACACCUUUCUUAGUGCCUACAAGAAGUCCUUGCACACGUUACCUCUCCACUUCCUUACUCACCUAUCUCUAUUCUAUUCAAAACUUGACAAUGAGACUGAACAAAAUAUGGGAGAAAGGAUUGUGUUGAUGCUAGACUCUUGAUCACCUAAAGCAAGACCUAGGUUCCCCUUUGGCAAUAGCACAUAAGAAGUCAUACAACUCCAAGUAAGCAUCACCUAUCACUGAAACCAUGCCUGCCCAUGACCUUAUUGUAACCCUU
rnacentral:misc_RNA from 1 species